AUAAUAUUUAGGUCCUCGGGUGUCCGGUGCAUACACUUUUAUGUUAUUGCCCGACUUAAUAAGGAAGCGGGGUGAAAAUCCCCCACGAACUCGUCGCUGUAAAGGAAGAGUCUGUUGCAAAUAUGCCACUGAUAUAAACUUGACAUUUAGUCAAAGUUGUUGUUGGGAAGGUAGCGGCAGGUGUUGAAGCCUAAGUCAGAAGACUUGCCCGAUUACUGAUACAACA
rnacentral:ncRNA from 2 species